rnacentral:rRNA from 1 species
UGGGGAAUAUUGGACAAUGGGGGCAACCCUGAUCCAGCAAUGCCGCGUGUGUGAAGAAGGUCUUCGGAUUGUAAAGCACUUUCGACGGGGACGAUGAUGACGGUACCCGUAGAAGAAGCCCCGGCUAACUUCGUGCCAGCAGCCGCGGUAAUACGAAGGGGGCUAGCGUUGCUCGGAAUGACUGGGCGUAAAGGGCGUGUAGGCGGUUUACACAGUCAGAUGUGAAAUCCCCGGG